UAGGUGGCGAGCGUUGUCCGGAUUUACUGGGCGUAAAGGAUGCGUAGGCGGAUAUUUAAGUGAGAUGUGAAAUACCCGGGCUUAACUUGGGUGCUGCAUUUCAAACUGGAUAUCUAGAGUGCGGGAGAGGAGAAUGGAAUUCCUAGUGUAGCGGUGAAAUGCGUAGAGAUUAGGAAGAACACCAGUGGCGAAGGCGAUUCUCUGGACCGUAACUGACGCUGAGGCAUGAAAGCGUGGGUAGCAAACAGGA
rnacentral:rRNA from 1 species